rnacentral:rRNA from 1 species
AGUGAACGCUAGCGGUAGGCCUAACACAUGCAAGUCGAACGGCAGCACAGUAAGAGCUUGCUCUUACGGGUGGCGAGUGGCGGACGGGUGAGGAAUACAUCGGAAUCUACUUUUUCGUGGGGGAUAACGUAGGGAAACUUACGCUACUACCGCAUACGAACUACGGGUGAAAGCAGGGGAUCUUCGGACCUUGCGCGAUUGAAUGAGCCGAUGUCGGGUUAGCUAGUUGGCGGGGGAAAGGCCCACCAAGGCGACGAUCCGUAGCUGGUCUGAGAGGAUGGACAGCCAAACUGGAACUGGGGGACGGUCCAGACUCCUACGGGAGGCAGCAGUGGGGAAUAUUGGACAAUGGGGGCAAGCCUGAUCCAGCCAUACCGCGUGGGUGAAGAAGGCCUUCGGGUUGGAAAGCCCUUUUGUUGGGAAAGAAAAGCAGCAGGUUAAUACCCCGCUGUUCUGACGGUACCCAAAGAAUAAGCACCGGCUAACUUCGUG